rfam:Ictidomys tridecemlineatus contig031711, whole genome shotgun sequence.
GGAGCUGUGGCUCAGUGGUAGAGCACUUGCCUGGCAUGUGUGAGGCCCUGGGUUCCAUCCUCUGCACUUCA